AAAGUUACCUUCGGGAGAUGAGUAGAGUGGCGCAUGGGUGAGUAACACGUAGGUAAUCUACCUUUGGGUGGGGAAUAACGCAGGGAAACUUGCGCUAAUACCGCAUAAUGCAGCGGCACCACAUGGUGACAGUUGUUAAAGCGGGGGAUUUUCGAACCUCGCGCCUAAAGAGGAGCCUGCGGCAGAUUAGCUAGUUGGUAAGGUAACGGCUUACUAAGGCGACGAUCUGUAGCCGGCCUGAGAGGGCGGGCGGCCACACUGACACUGACAUACGGGUCAGACUCCUACGGGAGGCAGCAGUCGGGAAUUUUGGGCAAUGGGCGAAAGCCUGACCCAGCAACGCCGCGUGAAGGAUGAAAUCCUUCGGGAUGUAAACUUCGCAAGAAUGGGAAGAAUUAGUAGGGGUUAAUACCCCCUAUGAUGACGGUACCAUUUGUAAGCUCCGGCUAACUCCGUGCCAGCAGCCGCGGUAAUACGGGGGGAGCAAGCGUUGUUCGGAUUUACUGGGCGUAAAGGGCGCGUAGGCGGUCAGCACAAGUCAGUUGUGAAAUCUCCGGGCUUAACUCGGAAAGGUCAACUGAUACUGUGCGACUAGAGUGCAGAAGGGGCAACUGGAAUUCUCGGUGUAGCGGUGAAAUGCGUAGAUAUCGAGAGGAACACCUGCGGCGAAGGCGGGUUGCUGGGCUGACACUGACGCUGAUGCGCGAAAGCCAGGGGAGCGAACGGGAUUAGAUACCCCGGUAGUCCUGGCCUUAAACGAUGGAUGCUUGGUGUCUGGAGUUUUAUAGUCUCCGGGUGCCGUAGCUAACGCGUUAAGCAUCCCGCCUGGGGAGUACGGUCGCAAGACUGAAACUC
rnacentral:rRNA from 1 species